GAUGAACGCUGGCGGCGUGCCUAAUACAUGCAAGUCGAGCGAACAGACGAGGAGCUUGCUCCUCUGACGUUAGCGGCGGACGGGUGAGUAACACGUGGAUAACCUACCUAUAAGACUGGGAUAACUUCGGGAAACCGGAGCUAAUACCGGAUAAUAUAUUGAACCGCAUGGUUCAAUAGUGAAAGACGGUUUUGCUGUCACUUAUAGAUGGAUCCGCGCCGCAUUAGCUAGUUGGUAAGGUAACGGCUUACCAAGGCAACGAUGCGUAGCCGACCUGAGAGGGUGAUCGGCCACACUGGAACUGAGACACGGUCCAGACUCCUACGGGAGGCAGCAGUAGGGAAUCUUCCGCAAUGGGCGAAAGCUUGACGGAGCAACGCCGCGUGAGUGAUGAAGGUCGUCGGAUCGUAAAACUCUGUUAUUAGGGAAGAACAAAUGUGUAAGUAACUAUGCACGUCUUGACGGUACCUAAUCAGAAAGCCACGGCUAACUACG
rnacentral:rRNA from 1 species